CAACAGCCCAGCCACCAGUAAGCCCCCUGUCACUUUGCGCCUAGUGGUGCCCGCCAGUCAGUGCGGCUCCCUCAUUGGCAAAGGAGGCUCGAAAAUCAAAGAGAUGAGAGAGUCCACAGGAGCUCAGGUGCAGGUAGCAGGGGACAUGCUGCCUAACUCCACAGAGCGCGCAGUGACAAUCUCCGGCA